AACGAACGCUGGCGGCAGGCUUAACACAUGCAAGUCGAACGAUGAAGGAGGAGCUUGCUCCUCUGGAUUAGUGGCGGACGGGUGAGUAAUACGUGAGCAAUGUGCCCUUGACUCUGGGAUAAGCGCUGGAAACGGCGUCUAAUACCGGAUACGACCCUCGGAGGCAUCUCCUGAUGGUGGAAAGAACUUCGGUCAAGGAUCAGCUCACGGCCUAUCAGCUAGUUGGUGAGGUAACGGCUCACCAAGGCGACGACGGGUAGCCGGCCUGAGAGGGUGACCGGCCACACUGGGACUGAGACACGGCCCAGACUCCUACGGGAGGCAGCAGUGGGGAAUAUUGCACAAUGGGCGCAAGCCUGAUGCAGCAACGCCGCGUGAGGGACGAAGGCCUUCGGGUUGUAAACCUCUUUUAGCAGGGAAGAAGCGAAAGUGACGGUACCUGCAGAAAAAGCACCGGCUAACUACGUGCCAGCCGCCGCAGUAACAC
rnacentral:rRNA from 1 species